rnacentral:rRNA from 1 species
UACGGGGGGGGCAAGCGUUGUUCGGAAUUACUGGGCGUAAAGGGCUCGUAGGCGGCCAACUAAGUCGGAUGUGAAAUCCCCAGGCUCAACCUGGGAACUGCAUCCGAUACUGGAUGGCUUGAAUUCGGGAGAGGGAUGCAGAAUUCCAGGUGUAGCGGUGAAAUGCGUAGAUAUCUGGAGGAAUACCUGUGGCGAAGGCGGCAUCCUGGACCGACAUUGACGCUGAUGAGCGAAAGCUAGGGGAGCAAACGGG